rnacentral:snoRNA from 1 species
CGCCCCGUCCCCAUCAUGGCGGGAACUGGCCAAAUGGCCACGGCAAGCCCUGCAGCUCAGCGGCCCCAGGUCUCCUGCCCUGGGACGUGGGGAUAAGUUCAGCUGCAGAAAGCG